GACGAACGCUGGCGGCGUGCCUAAUACAUGCAAGUCGAACGCUUCUUUCCUCCCGAGUGCUUGCACUCAAUUGGAAAGAGGAGUGGCGGACGGGUGAGUAACACGUGGGUAACCUACCCAUCAGAGGGGGAUAACACUUGGAAACAGGUGCUAAUACCGCAUAACAGUUUAUGCCGCAUGGCAUAAGAGUGAAAGGCGCUUUCGGGUGUCGCUGAUGGAUGGACCCGCGGUGCAUUAGCUAGUUGGUGAGGUAACGGCUCACCAAGGCCACGAUGCAUAGCCGACCUGAGAGGGUGAUCGGCUACACUGGGACUGAGACACGGCCCAGACUCCUACGGGAGGCAGCAGUAGGGAAUCUUCGGCAAUGGACGAAAGUCUGACCGAGCAACGCCGCGUGAGUGAAGAAGGUUUUCGGAUCGUAAAACUCUGUUGUUAGAGAAGAACAAGGACGUUAGUAACUGAACGUCCCCUGACGGUAUCUAACCAGAAAGCCACGGCUAACUACGUG
rnacentral:rRNA from 1 species